rnacentral:rRNA from 1 species
UAAGGAAUAUUGGUCAAUGGACGCAAGUCUGAACCAGCCAUGCCGCGUGAAGGAUGAAGGUCCUCUGGAUUGUAAACUUCUUUUAUCUGGGACGAAAACGGGAUUUUUAUCUCAAUUGACGGUACCCUAUGAAUAAGCACCGGCUAACUCCGUGCCAGCAGCCGCGGUAAUACGGAGGGUGCAAGCGUUAUCCGGAUUUACUGGGUUUAAAGGGUGCGUAGGCGGGCAUGUAAGUCAGUGGUGAAAUACCGGAGCUUAACUUCGGAACUGCCAUUGAUACUAUAUGUCUUUAAUAUUGUGGAGGUAAGCGGAAUAAGUCAUGAAGCGGUGAAAUGCAUAGAUAUGACAUAGAACACCGAUUGCGGAGGCAGCUUGCUACGCAAAUAUUGACGCUGAGGCACG